rnacentral:rRNA from 1 species
GACGAACGCUGGCGGCAUGCCUAACACAUGCAAGUCGAACGGAACCUUCCGGUCUAUUUGCGCACGGGUGGUUAACGCGGGGUAACCUGCCCUUAGGUUCGGAAUACCUCCCCUAAAGGUGUGCUAAUACCGCAUAAGGUCUUCGGACCAACGAUUUAUCGCCUUUGGGUGGGCCCGCGUUAGAUUAGCUGGUUGGUAGGGUAAAAGCCUACCAUGGCGACGUUGCAUAGCUGGUAGGGGAGGAUGAUAAGCCACAAUGGACAUUCGACACGGACCCGCACGGUACGGGACGGAGCAGUGGAGAAUAUUGGACACUGGGCGAAAGCGCGACAAAGCCACGUGGGGUGAGACAUGAAGGCCUUAGGGUUGUACAGCCCCUUUAGACGGGACGAGAAUGACAGUAACGGGAGAAUAAGCUCCGGCUAACUACGUG